rnacentral:lncRNA from 1 species
ACAAUUUACCACUACAGUGGUCCCCGACAACAUGUGAAUGGUUAGGAUCCUGCGAUACCUCUUCGGAAUCACUGCAGACCGUUGGAUCUUCAUAACUCUGCUUCCUCCCGUUCGCACAUCAUCUUCAGACUUCAAACUGCAUCUUCAGGUUUUCAGACUUAGAAUAUUUCUGAAAUCUCAGAAUUCCUCUCAAUCCUGACAUUACCUUCCCCUCAAGACAAUCCUUGUCCUCAAGGAUUAAACGAUGGAAACAUUGCUUGAAUGACUGAUGCGUCUUCCCAUGUGGCUUCAGCAGGAGACAAAUUCUGCCAUAAUAUCAACCAUUGAGUCACAGCAACUCCUUUCCUGGGUACCAUUCUCCUCUGUAGAACUGCUAGUGGUUCUGUUUUAAUCUGCCCAUCUGGUCCUACUGAGGGUAAAUUGGACAUGGGAAUAGCAUGCUUCCCCAGAUGCUUCUUGAGCUGACUAACAUGGAACACAGGGUGGAUCUGAGCAUCAUCAGGUAACUGAAGCUUAUAAGCUAAUUGGCCAAUCUUCUGAAGAACCUUGAAUGGUCCAUAAAACUUGGAUCUUAGCUUGAGAGACCCUCUGAUCCCAAAUGCAGACUGUCUAUAGGGUUUCAAUUUUAAAUAUACCAUAUCCCCAACUUCUAAGUUUCUUUCAGUUCUAUUUUUAUCUGCAAAAUACUUCAUUCGGUGUUGAGCAUCAGCCAAACUAUUCUUGAGUUUGUUCAGUAUUGCUUCCUUUUCUUCAAUAGUCACCCUAGCUUCUUCUGAUAUGUUACAUGGCACUGAAAAUUCAUUGAUUUGUGGGGGAGAAUAACCAUACAUUGCUUUGAACGGAGUCAUCUGAAUUGCGGUGUGGAAAGUGGUGUUAUACCACCACUCAGCUAGUGCCAGCCAUGAAUACCAUUUGUGAGGUUCUUGGAACGUCAUAUUUCUAAGGUAGGACUCCAGGCAUUGAUUGACUCUUUCAGUUUGUCCAUCCAUUUGUGGGUGAUAAGCAGUACUAAAUCUCAGCUUGACCUUCAUUGCUUUGAAAAUCUCCUGAAACAGACUGCUAGUAAAAAUCCGGUCCCUGUCAGUGAUGAUGACCAUCGGCAUACCAUGCAGUUUGUGAAUAUUGUUCAUGAACGCCUCUACCACCUGCUCCACAUCAUAUGGAUGGGCUAAUGCUAUGAAAUGAGCAUAUUUGGUCAGACGAUCCACCACUACCAGAAUAACAUCUUUCCCUUGUGAUUUUGGUAGCCCCUCUAUAAAGUCCAUAGUAAUAUGAGUCCAUGCCAUAUCUGGUAUUUCUAAUGGAUUGAGCAACCCAGGAAUGUGAACAUGUUCAGACUUAGUGAUCUGGCAAGUAGGACACUCUCUUAUGAAUCUUUCAACUUCCCCUCUCAUCCCAUGCCAAUAAAACAACAUUUUGAUUCGGUGGUGGGUUGCUCUCAUACCUGAGUGACCCCCAAAAGAAGAUGAAUGAUAGGUUGUGAUCAAUUGCCUUCUGAUAUCCGUGGCUUCUCCCACAUAGAUCCUCCCUUUGUAUUUUAGCAAUCCUGCUUCAAGCUUAUAUUCUCUAUCUGGAUCUGCUGCAGUACCAAUCAAACUGAGAAUUUUGUGUGCUUGUACAUCAUUUUCAUAGCUCCUCUGAAUAUCCACAAUCCACUCAGGUAUCACCACAGUCAUUGGGUGACACCUGUCUGCAACAGCUUCCUUUUGUGGUAGCCUGGACAGAGCAUCAGCCACUAAAUUUUCUUUUCCAGAUUUAUACUCUAUGGUAUAAUCAUACUCCAUCAAUUUUAGCAACAAUUUGUGUUGUAUCCCCUCUACCAAUCUCUGACCCAUCAUGAAUUUCAAACUUUGCUGGUCAGUCUUAAUGAUCAAUUUACUGCCCAACACAUAGUGCCUCCACUUUUUAAGAGCUUCAAGAAUAGCCAUAGCCUCCUUCUCAUAUAUGGAUUGCCCAGCUGCCUUGGGUCCCAAAGCCUUACUGAAAAAUGCAAUGGGUCGCCCUCCCUGCAUUAGUACUGCCCCAAUGCCGACUCCACAAGCAUCUGCUUCUAUGGUGAAUGCUUGAUCAAAGUCUGGCAAAGCCAAGACAGGGCUGGUUCUCAGCUUAUGCUUUAGAGUCUCAAAAGCUGUGGUCUGAUCUGCUCCCCAUUGAAACCCAUUCUUUUUCAGCAUGUCAUGAAUAGGUCUACAAAUGGUACCAUAGCCUUGAAUGAACCUUCGGUAGUAUCCUGUCAUCCCCAGGAAUUUCCUUACAUCAGUGACAUCCUUGGGUGUGGGCCAAUUUUUAAUUUUCCCCACCUUCUUGGGAUCUGUAGCCACCCCAUCCUGAGAGAUUACAUGUCCUAGGUAAGACACACUUGCAAGUCCAAAAGCACACUUUUUAAGCUUGAUUACAAGAUGGUUGUCUUGCAAAGCUUGCAUUACUAACUUCACAUGCUCCAGAUGCUCUGCCCUUGUUUUGCUAUAGAUUAAUAUGUCAUCGAAAAACACCAACACAAAUCUUCUUAAGAAUGGUGCUAGGACAUGAUUCAUAAGUGACUGGAAAGUGGCAGGGUCAUUUGUCAAACCGAAUGGCAUUACUUGAUAUUCAUAAUGCCCAAGAUGUGUUCUAAAUGCUGUUUUAUGAACAUCCUUCUCAGCCAUCCUAAUUUGGUGAUACCCUGACCGAAGGUCUAGUUUAGAGAAUAUCCUUGCUCCAUUUAAUUCAUCUAACAAGUCUUCAAUGAUUGGCAUUGGGAAUUUGUUCUUAACAGUCUGUGCAUUCAAUUGUCGGUAAUCGACACACAUCCUCCAAGAUCCAUCUUUCUUGCGAACCAUCACAGCAGGAGAUGAAUAGGGACUAUCACUAGUUUGAAUCUCCUUAGAUUCAAUCAGCUCAUUGAUAAUAUUUUCCAUCGCUUCCUUCUGAUAAUGUGGCACUCUGUAUGGCCUGAUGUUAGGUGGUACAGCCCCACUCUGUAAAUUAAUCACAUGGUCACAUUCUCGCUUAGGUGGUAGCCCCUUUGGUUCUUUAAGCACAGCUGGAAAUUGUUGUAUAAUGUCACUAAUGUCUUCAGGUAUAACAUGCCCUUCUUCCUCCACAGUUUCAGACAUGACAUUGACUUGUAUCACCAUACCAAGAGCCCCCUUCUUUAACAUUUUCUCCAAUCUUUUACCACUGAUCUGAAAGUGCUUAUUUGGUUUAGUGAAAUCUUGUAAGAGUAUUACUUUGUUUCCCUUUGUAAUUCCCAAAAUUCUUUGCUUCAAAUCCAGCGAAAUGGGACUAUAAUUAUAGAUCCAAUCAGCACCCAAGAUAAUAUCAUAUCCCUUGAGAGGAAGCAACUUAAAUUGGUUAGUAAAGCAUUCUCCUUGAAUCUCAUAGCUGAUGUCUGGCACCAUGACAUCAGUCUUAAGUUCUCCACCACCAGCAACUACUACUUUCUUUGUGUCAGUAUUUUUCAAGGGAUAGUAAUUCCUAAGGGCAUAAUCCUGAUCCAUGAAUGUGGUGGUACUCCCACUAUCAACCAACCCUACAGCUGUCCGGCCAUUGAUUUUGAUUAAUACUGAGAAUGUAUCUGGCCUGGAUGUACCCUGUACUGCAGUUUGAGAAAUGUACAUCAACUCUUCGGUUGGGGACUCAUUUUCUGAAGUUGCAGAUUCUUCAGUUUCUUUCUUCUCUUCCUCAUCACCCCCAGUAUUACUUGUUUCUUUAUCUUCUUGCCCAUCAUCUUCUUCUAACAAAGCGUGAAUUGCUUGUUUAAUCUUACACUGGUGCCUUGGAAACCAAGGUUCUUUACAGAACCAGCACUUCUUUUCCUCUCUCCUAUCUCCCUCACCUCUGUUUUGUCCCCUAUGGUUAGCAUUCCGCCCCUGAUUACCUCCAAGUGGAUUCUGAUUCCUGUUUCGGUUGAAAUUUCCCACCAUUUUUCUGGCAUUAGCAGCCCUUUCAUAAUUUUUUUGCAUACCAGUAAGUUUCAAGCAAGCCUUGAGGUUUCUGACCACACACAUCGUAUUUAAUAUCUGCUCUCAAUCCCCCAAUGAAACAGCUGGUCAGAUAUUGCUCCUGGAGAUAAGGGUGGUCUCUCUUUACUAAAUCCACAUAAUCCUCAAACUUGUCAAUAUAUUGCUCCACUGUUGUUCCAAAUUGUUUCACAUUUUGGAACAACUCAAUUGCCUCAUGUUCACUCGCAGCAGAAAAUCGAGUACAGACCAUGCUGCACCAUUGUGGCCAAGCUAUCACUUGCCAUGGCAGACCAAUUCCUCCGAACCAUUUCAAUGCCCUGCCAUUCAAAUGAGCCACCGCUAAAUUCACCCAUUGAUCCAGAGGGGUACCCGUAAUCUCAAAAAACUUCUCACACUGCUUAAGCCAAUCUAUUGGAUCUUCUCCACUGAACAGAGGGAUUUCUAAUCUUGGCCCCUUGAGGACAGCCUCAGCGUACUGAUUCCCUUCUCCUGCCUGACCCAGAUAAAUGUUCCUCUGUUGGUCCAACAUCCUCACUCCUGCACGAUUUUGGACAAAGUCUGCAUGUCCACCAACCCUAUUCCCAUUAGGCUGAAAAGCUGGAAUGUGCCCCCGGGUAUUUCAAAUGCGAGCUGUGGUCGAGUAGCAGUUACUAUAGAGGAGGUAAACAUCUCAUUGGUUCGAUUAGCAGCAAACUGAUUCUCAUGCCCUGGCUGUGUGGGAUGCCCUUGUACUGUCAUCAUAGGCAUCGUAGGUGCAACUGAAUGCAUAUUCAUAGGCAUCGAGGGGUUCACAGUAUUAGCUUCAAUAUGGAAUUGGGAUUCAGUCACAGGUGGGUUACCUUGCGCCUGAGAACUUGUCCCAGCCGCGUCUCCUCCUCCUUGCGAAGCUACUGCCUUGCUUGCCUUUGCAGUAGCAGCCGCUUCUUCUUCUUCUUCAGCCUCUUUUCUCUUGCACAAUUCCAGUAACAAUCCUUUAAUCUCUUUUACUUCCCCCUUCAGACCUUUGAGAUCGGCCACCUCCUUCUUCAGUGCCGCCAUAUCAACCCGGAAUUCGUUGAGCUCCUCCGUACCUAGUAGUCACCAUUCACACCACUGCUUAGGUCGGUUUAGGAUCUGACUCCCUCCCCUUUGUGCCUAAGUAGAACUGUCUACCGCCGCCUAACCCAGAUCACGAGCUCCGGAGAUUUUACAGGAACACACCGAAAGGUGGUUCACAAACCCUCGCUCCAGUAAUCUGUGUUUUCCUUCCGCUACCGGAUAAAAUCCACCAAGGCUUAGGGAUUUUACAAUGGAUCUCGCCGCCGCCUUCCACCAACCCUCACCCGAUGGAUUCCAGAGCCAAGGAUUGAACCUUGCUCUGAUACCUUUGUCAGGAUCAGAGCUGAAAACACCUGGAAAUGGACGCCUCUCUCUCUCCUUUGUUCGCUCGAAACAGAGUAAAUCGGGAAGAAAAUAGGUGGUCGCCGCAAGAACUCGUUUCUCCCAGAUCUACUUUACCCUACUCCUAAGAACAAAUGAUAAUGAGGUUUUUCUUAUCUCCCUCCUGGCCACAAGCCAAUAGUUUUAAUAGGAGUACAUAAGGAUUCCAAAGUGGUCUUUGCCACUGAACACACACACACCAAUUCAGAGAAAACAACAAUUUACCACUACAGUGGUCCCCGACAACAUGUGAAUGGUUAGGAUCCUGCGAUACCUCUUCGGAAUCACUGCAGACCGUUGGAUCUUCAUAACUCUGCUUCCUCCCGUUCGCACAUCAUCUUCAGACUUCAAACUGCAUCUUCAGGUUUUCAGACUUAGAAUAUUUCUGAAAUCUCAGAAUUCCUCUCAAUCCUGACAGGGGAGUUGAGUUAGGAUGGGGCAGGGAUGGUGGCGGAGGUGUCCAGCUAGCUCGGAUGGCCGGCGAGCUUGGCCGCGCAUGGAGGACAGAUGCAGAGGAGGCGCCUCAAGGGGAGGGGAUCGGGAGAAACGGCUCGCAGGCAUAGGCGUCAGGGAGGAGCGGCUUGGACUCAGGGAGAAUAGACCAUGCGAAAACCCAAUUUUGCCCUUCCACUUGUUUAACGCGUGCAUACGAAGGGGAGGUACCAUUGAGGGGAUUUUGGUACCUGGCAGUACUGAGCAUUGUCACCCGUUGGAUUUAGCGUGAUGGAUGGUCUAGAUAGUAGGUACCGGGCGGUACGAAAAGUUUAGAUGG